UAAGGAAUAUUGGUCAAUGGACGAAAGUCUGAACCAGCCAUGCCGCGUGGAGGAUGAAGGUCCUCUGGAUUGUAAACUUCUUUUAUAGGGGACGAAAAAAGGAAAUUCUUUUCCGUCUGACGGUACCCUAUGAAUAAGCACCGGCUAACUCCGUGCCAGCAGCCGCGGUAAUACGGAGGGUGCAAGCGUUAUCCGGAUUCACUGGGUUUAAAGGGUGCGUAGGCGGACAGGUAAGUCAGUGGUGAAAUCUUCGAGCUUAACUCGGAAACUGCCUUUGAUACUAUCUGUCUUGAAUAUUGUGGAGGUAAGCGGAAUAUGUCAUGUAGCGGUGAAAUGCUUAGAUAUGACAUAGAACACCUAUUGCGAAGGCAGCUUACUACGCAUAUAUUGACGCUGAGGCACGAAAGCGUGGGGAUCAAAC
rnacentral:rRNA from 1 species